AAAGUGUCCAGGGAUGGGAAUCGAACCCACAGUGUUCCGCUUACUGGGCAGAUGCCAUGUCCACUAAGCUAGACACCC